ensembl:lncRNA LOC103691935 uncharacterized LOC103691935
CCGGUGUUUUCCUGAAGCAGCGGGUUUUGCUAGUAUGGGCUUCCUUGUAGCCACCUGCUCAGGCCCUUGUGAGUGAGCCCUAAACUCCUAGGAUGAUGGGGAUAGGGGCGCACUCUUGAGGCCAGAUCCCUGCCAGCUUUGAUAAAUGGCGUAAGGUCCCAGGGUUCCCCGUGUCAUGGACGACAACCUUGAGUUUCUCAGCCUCCAAAGGGUUUCACACCUGGGUCUCACGAUGGUUCGGUAUUCCUUCCAUCACAGAGUUACUUAGUAGCAAAAGUGCUCAUCCAGUCUGCAUGCCUGGCCGUCAAGAAGAUUAAUACGGCCCUUCAAAGACUUGGAUGGAUUUGUGGACCCUGCCGUCCUUGAAACCACAGUAUCUGAAAUUCCAGCUGCCUGGGAGCUUCUCAGAGGGUUCAAGCCUACAUCCCCAGAACCUGAGAAGCAGUUCCUCCUCCAACGAGUUUUUCAAGACAAGGAUUCCUUGUGUCAGCCCUGGCCAUCCUGGAACUUGCUCCGUAGACCAAGCUGGCCUUGAACUCAGAAAUCUGCCUCUGCCUCCAGAGUGCUGGAUUAAAGGUGUGCACCACCAUCCUGCC